AAAAUAAUCAGCCUAAAAUAAUUCUUAUGCCAAAGAGGCAUAUUUUGGGAUGACAAAUUCUGUUCCUGGUCCUGUGGUUACAAAGCUUCUAUGCAGAAUGCAGGCGCUGCUCGUUUUACACCAGCUCUUUAAAAUUCUUCCUGCUACCAAAGUCUUUCAACACUGUCUAUGGAGGAUCUAUUAUGGGUUAUGUACUACAGUAUUAGCGAUGUGAGAGACCCAAAGAACAGGGACUUUCCCUGGUCUCCGGAGGUUCCGCGCGGGGGACCACUCACUGAAUGUGGAUUCUAGUUCUGGUUCUGUCACAUGUUAGCUGUGCAGCCUUGGACAAGUCACCUAACUCAGAACUUUAGUUGUCUCACCUUUAAAAUGGGGAGAAUAAUAGUAGUCUUGACAUGCAUUCAGGAUUUUGCAAGAAGUGAGACUGUUUGUAAGAAAGAUGUUUCUGGAAGCUGGUUGGAAGCUGGAAAUAAGAAAGGGACACUUUUGAAUGCAGAGUCGUUUAUAAUAUCCAAAGUUAUUAUGCCAGGCUCCUGGGCAGAUGGAGGUAUUAUAAUAAACUCAAAAAGGAAGAUCAAGGAGUAAGCCCUACAGGGGCUGCUUUGUAACCCAGACAGUCAGCCUAGUAUUCUAGCAAGACAGUGGCAUGUUCUUAAAAAGACAGACAAACUCUCGAGAGCAUCACCUGCCUGUGCCAAAGAACCUGGGAAGCUUUGGAAUCAUAAAUCAGCUAUGCGGAAUGCCGACAAAGGGAGCUAACUCUGUGACCCAGUACUUUUACCAGAAGGUAAGAACCUAUGAUGUGUUGGUCUGCUCUGGGGCCGUCUGCCUCCUGGUCUGGAACCCUCUUCCUCAACACUAAUGCACAGAAGCAUAUGUUUUCUUGCCUUCCUUUCCUGUUUCUAGAACUCCUUUGACUGGCACUUUCCAGAAUGACACCCAUUUCUUUUCUUCCUCUCUUUAGUUUUAACUUCAUAAUUCCUUCUAACCAUUUAAAAACGCACAUUAUGUUCAUUUAACGUGUGGUGUACUUACAAAUUUUAUCCUGCUUUUUUUUUUUUCAGUUAGCAUAUUUUGGGCCU